rnacentral:tRNA from 67 species
GGAGACGUGCCCGAGAGGCUGAAGGGGCUCCCCUGCUAAGGGAGUAUGUGGCUAAAAACUGCAUCGUGGGUUCGAAUCCCACCGUCUCCGCCA